rnacentral:rRNA from 1 species
CGCGUAGGCGAUUUGAAAAGUCAACUGUGAAAGCCCAGGGCCUAACCCUGGAAGUGCAGUUGAUACUGUUGAAUUUGAGUUCCGGAGAGGAAGGCAGAAUUCCCGGUGUAGCGGUGAAAUGCGUAGAUAUUAGGAGGAACACCAGUGGCGAAGGCGGCUUACUGGACGAUAACUGACGCUGAGGCUCGAAAGCGUGGGGAGGCAAAACA